UUUUCUGCUUUCGCCUUUUUGCAACUAUUUUUAGCGUUAUUCGAAUGAAUUUUCGUAAGUUCAUCCCAUACUAAUACUGACUGUGUUUCGUGUCAAGAUCGACUAGAUUUAAGCUGUUGUGUUCAAAUUGAAUCCUUGAUUUUCAAUCAUAAUUAACAUCAAGAUUACACACAUUACACAACUCAUCAAUGAUGAUGAUAAUGACCAUGAACAAAUAUUUUUUUUAUUAUAUAGGACAAGAAUCGAUUUUUUUUUCUUCACAGAAAAGCCAUUCGAGUGAGUUACCCAGAAUAGACAAUUGUACAAACGUUCAAUAAUUUCGAGUAAUAAUGGCUUUCUUUCUAUACUCUCUCAUUCACAGUAGUCAUCAUUAUCGUCGUUGUUGUUGUCGUCGAUUUAAUCUACACCCACAAUUCCCCAAAAAGCUAUACAAAUGAAGUAGAGAGCAUCAUCAUAUAUUUAAUUUUUUUUUGUUCAGUCAUAAUAUACGAGAGCUUUAUAUAUCUAAUAUAUAAAUGAGAUUGUUGUAUAAGACGAUUAUUACUAUGAUAAUAGUUGACGAUCAAUAAUAUCAAUGAAGUUGUCUAUAAAUAAUAUGGCCGCAAGACUUUGGAUUCUUUUUUUUCGUUUUCUUUUUAUUCUUACAAUCGACAUCAUCAUCAUCAAUCGAACUCGACUCGAUUCGAUUCGAUUUGUUUUGUGGCUUCACUGUAAUCAUCAUUCAAUUUAAUUCUAUACGAUAUAAAGGCCAAUCUCUGGAGCAAUGUAUGUAGAGUUAUUAAAGCUGUACUGUAGAUUCUUUUUUUUACCAGAAAAAAAUGCAAGAAUCAAAAAUAAAACGUGUGUGUGUGUGUGUGUGUGUAUGUGUGUGCGUGUGAGAGAGAAACAGGAAAAGAAAGAUCACAAAAGACAAAUUAUUGGACAAAUAAAUGAAAGGCACUAAAAAAAGGUGAAUGACCAAAAGUCACGAAAUUUUGUAUACAAAAAACAAAAAGGAUACGGAGACCACUGUGAAGAAUAGAUUAGGAUCAAAAAAAAAAAAAAAAAAAAAAAAAAUUAUGGAGGUGAAGCCAAUGUUUCAGGGACAAUGUUUUGUUGUUGAUUUUAAACAAAUAAGCACAAAUUAAGAAAAUCUUUAAAAAAAUUCUUUUUUUUGCCUUUUUUUGAAACAAUAAAAAUAAACUUCCGAGUAGCAAGAACUCGAAGAUGUAAUUGAUAAUGAAAAACAUUGGAAAAGUUUAGGCAUUGCAUCGGCUGUCAUAUCAGUAAUCUGUACAAUCAUCAUAUUGGCCAUAUUAAUUUUGACACCUUCACGAAAUACCGGUCAAAAACUUGAACCAUACACUUUGGCGGAAGUAUUGAGCAAAAAAAUUAUGCAAGCCCAUCGUUUCAAUGGAACAUGGAUUUCAGCCCAUGAAUUCAUUUAUUCAUUGGACGACAAAAACAUUAUGCUAUACGAUUGUCGAAAUGAACAAAGUAGACCAAUAACAACGAAACUCAAUACGACAAACGAUGAAAUUGUUCAUUUUGAAAUAUCUAC